ACUCCUACGGGAGGCAGCAGUAGGGAAUCUUCCACAAUGGGCGCAAGCCUGAUGGAGCAACACCGCGUGAGUGAAGAAGGGUUUCGGCUCGUAAAGCUCUGUUGUUAAAGAAGAACACGUAUGAGAGUAACUGUUCAUACGUUGACGGUAUUUAACCAGAAAGUCACGGCUAACUACGUGCCAGCAGCCGCGGUAAUACGUAGGUGGCAAGCGUUAUCCGGAUUUAUUGGGCGUAAAGAGAGUGCAGGCGGUUUUCUAAGUCUGAUGUGAAGGCCUUCGGCUUAACCGGAGAAGUGCAUCGGAAACUGGAUAACUUGAGUGCAGAAGAGGGUAGUGGAACUCCAUGUGUAGCGGUGGAAUGCGUAGAUAUAUGGAAGAACACCAGUGGCGAAGGCGGCUACCUGGUCUGCAACUGACGCUGAGACUCGAAAGCAUGGGUAGCGAACAGGAUUAGAUAAA
rnacentral:rRNA from 1 species